CGCUCUUCAAAAACCCCCCCCACACCCCCUCCCCCCACCCCUCGUCGCAUUUCCAAAUCGAGUUAGGGUUUCCCUUCCCAGGAAGGAGAGGAGGAAAGGAAUUAGGGUUAGGGUUGCGCCAUGGGGAGGGGGCCGGUGCAGUUGAAGAGGAUCGAGAACAAGAUCAACCGCCAGGUCACGUUCUCGAAGCGCCGCAGCGGCUUGCUGAAGAAGGCGCACGAGAUCUCCGUGCUCUGCGACGCCGAGGUCGCGCUCAUCGUCUUCUCCACCAAGGGCAAGCUCUACGAGUACUCCACCGACACCUCUAUGGAGAGGAUUCUUGAUCGCUACGAGCGCUAUGCUUACGCAGAGAAAGCCCUCUCAGAAGGAUAUCCCGAAUCGCAGGGAAGCUGGUGUGAGGACUAUGGGAAGCUAAAGUCGAAAGUCGAAUCGUUACAGAAAAAGCAAAGGAAUCUCAUGGGCGAACAACUCGAUUCCUUAACGCUGAAAGAACUUCAACAACUGGAGCAACAACUUGAUACUGCUUUGAGACACAUAAGAUCAAGAAAGAAUCAGCUUCUGUUCGAUUCAAUUUCCGAGCUACAAAAGAAGGAGAAGUCAUUGCAGGAGCAAAACAAUGCUCUGGAGAAGCUCAUGGAGAAAGACGCAGCCGACGCCGACGCCAACGCUCUGACCCAACAUCUGCAGUGGGAGCAGCAAAAUCAGCCGCUGACGAGCCCCUCGCCUCUCCCGUUCGUGUUUACCGACGCUUUGCCGAAUUCAAACACCGGCACAUAUCAACAAAGCGACACAUCAUGCGAGCCCGGAUCUGCCGAGCCCCUCAUCAACACAAACAGCAAAACUCUCCCUCCAUGGAUGCUUCGACUUGCGAAUGUAUAGAUUGAGAUCGAACCUGCUUUCCGAUAAACGCCCUCGGCGACGGUUACAAGAGCAACGCCGCAUUCUUUUCCUCCAUCUCCUUCUUCGUCGCUGCUGACAGCCCUCGGCGACAAUAACGAGGACGGUGCCGCCUUCUCUGUCUCCGCCUCCGCCUCUGCCGAUGCCGAUGCCGGAGAAGAACUCAAAGCAGGCCCGGGUGAGGGAGGAGCCAACAGAGGCGAUGAGGUCGUUUCCAUGUUUUGGGGCUCAGGUGCCGCGUGCAAGGCAAAAAGGCUCACGUUGAUGAGGAUGGGGUUGGAGGAGAAGGGGGAGAAAGGGGUCAAGGGAAGAGGAAGAAGAAGAAAAUGAUGAGGCGAUGAGCAUCGGAAAAUAAUAUGGACGCGUCUUUUUUCCUCACCCUCACGGGGGGCGAGCACCUCAUCGACAACGACCUCAUCGCCUCGUUCGUUCCACCCUCACCCGGGCCCACUUCGAGUUCUCCUUCUCCUUCUUCGGUGCCAGCGGAGGUGGAGGCGGAGGCGGUGGCGGAAGAGGCGGCACCGCCCUUGUUACUGUCGCCGAGGGGCGCCGGCGCCAGUGGAGAAGAAAAUGGAGGAAAAGGAGAUGGCGCCGCCCUCGUUACCGUCGCCGGGGCCGCGGAGGUGGUGGAGGAAGCGAUGAGGAUCGGAGAGAAAANACGAAGGAAAAAAAAAAGAA